UGCCAGAUGAGUGGUGGUGAUUUCUUGCUUGGAGACUGCAAUGAUGGUUUGUGCCAGCUUGGGAAAACAGUUGUCGUAGCUGUUGUUAGAUGGCAAUGAUGGUUUGUGCCAGAGUUGGAAAACUCUUGUCUAGCUGGUACUAGGAGCUGGCCUGUGUCACUGUUUUGAAUUACUGUUUUGGUCUGGUGUAAAGUAUUGCACAUUUACACGUGAGAUAUUGGGGGUUGUUGAACCCUUAUGGUAUCAACUUGCUACCAGCUAAGCCUAUUUGUGUUUUAGAACUUUUGAUGAGUUGUUAAUAAAUUUCGGUUACCUGGAUGAUUAAGUGGAGAAAUUUAUUGCUUGACAUUGAUAGGCUUUACAGUUUGGCGUCACGAACAGGAUCUUUUAUUUGGUAGCAAGUUGAUGUAGAGUAAGGUGAGGUUUCAAAACAGUGACAUAGGCUGAAGAGUCGAGGAGUGUGGAACAAGAGACUUUAGUGAAACUGCUUUGGAUAUAAAGACUGUUGUUGUAUGACUGACUACCAAACGAUGGAGCAAGAGCUUGCUGCGUUGCGG
ensembl:lncRNA